GAGUAUCCUCCGCGCUAGUGUAGGCUGUCGGUCCUCGGGGCACCACAGGGCAUGGCAGGAAGGUUGUCCUAUCACCCAGUCAUGGGUUAUGCAGAAGCACUCAAGAGCACUAGCCUUGCAAAACUACAGUUCCAAGGACUGCAUGUGAUAUUUGAAAUGUAUGUUUUAUGAACUCUUAAAGAAAUACCACACAUAAUCUCUGCUUAUAUUGUAACAUACUAUAAACAACUGGUAUAAUGUUUACCUCAUGGGUGCUGUUUGAACCAUAGAAGCUCUAUCCUUCAGAAUAAUUUAAAAUUAUUUUUAAAAUUAA
rnacentral:lncRNA from 1 species